ACUUUUAUAAAUCCGCACAUGUAUCGACACAUCGUUCUGGGUGUCUUAAGUGGUUAAACGCUUGAGAUUGGACAAUGGGAUACAUGGAGGCCUAAC
rnacentral:sRNA from 1 species